AAAGUUAAGAAGCUUACAGUUGGAGUGCUUUCUCCCUGGCUCAGAGGCAGGAGGGUGAGUGGCUGCAGAGGACAGACAGAUAAAACAGCACAAAAGCAUCACUGAUGGAGGAAGAUCAGACAAGUACAGGAGAAGCUGAGUAGGAUAACGGCAGAUGAAUAGGUCAGGUAUUGAUGAGGAGCAAAUCCCCCACCUAAAGAGGAUGAAAAUCCCACAUCAUCUUGCACCACAAAGGUGAAACCUCUCAGGUACAGGUUCUACCUGACCUCCAG